AUACGAAGGGUGCAAGCGUUGUUCGGAUUUAUUGGGCGUAAAGCGCGCGUAGGCGGACCCGCAAGUCAGAUGUGAAAUCUCGAGGCUCAACCUCGAAACUGCGUCUGAAACUACAGGUCUAGAAUCUUGGAGGGGGAAGGGGAAUUUCGCAUGUAGGGGUAAAAUCCGUAGAUAUGCGAAGGAACACCAGAGGCGAAGGCGCCUUCCUGGACAAGUAUUGACGCUGAGGCGCGAAAGCGUGGGGAUCAAACAGGAUUAGAUACCCUGGUAGUCCACGCUGUAAACGAUGAACACUAGGUAUUGGAGGAUUUGACCCCUUCAGUGCCGUAGCUAACGCGUUAAGUGUUCCGCCUGGGAAGUACGGUCGCAAGACUAAA
rnacentral:rRNA from 1 species